AGUCUGGUGCCAGCAGCUGCGGUAAUACCAGCUCCAAUAGCGUAUAUUAAAGUUGUUGCAGUUAAAAAGCUCGUAGUUGGACUUGUGUGCGCUGUCCGCGGGUGGCCUGCGCCCAAAAGGGCGUUUCGGUUCGGCCCCGGUGGCGCCUUGAAAUCUGCAGCUGGGAGGACGUUGGCCUUAACUGGUCGGCGACCGCACGCCGGCUGCUCGGUUACUGUGAGAAAAUUAGAGUGUUCAAGGCAGGCAUUGGGUGCAAUUGAAUACAUUAGCAUGGAAUAAUAAAAUAUGGCUCCUGCCGUAUUUUGUUGGUUUUGACUGGUGGGAGUAAUGAUUGAUAGGGACGGUUGGGGGUGCUAGUAUUGAGCGGCCAGAGGUGAAAUUCAUGGAUUCGCUCAAGACUAACUUAUGCGAAAGCAUUCACCAAGGACGUCCUCUUUAAUCAAGAACGAAAGUUGGGGGAUCGAAGACGAUCAGAUACCGUCGUAGUCUCAACCAUAAACUAUGUCGACUUGGGAUCGGCGGUAGUUUUUUCAUUAAGACACUGUCGGGACCACGGGAGAAAUCAAAGUGUCUGGACUCUGGGGGAAGUAUGGUCGCAAGGCUGAAACUUGAAGGAAUUGACGGAAGGGCACCACCAGGAGUGGAGCCUGCGGCUUAAUUUGACCCAACACGGGGAAACUUACCAGGUCCAGAGAUGUAGAGGAUUGACAGAUUGAAGCUCUUUCUUGAUCACUUCGGUGGUGGUGCAUGGCCGUUCUUAGUUGGUGGAGUGAUUUGUCUGGUUAAUUCCGUUAACGAACGAGACCUCAGCCUGCUAGUGUAGUCGGCUGGUUUGCCUUUGGCGAUCCGUGAUUUCGACUUCUUAGAGGGACAAUCGACGCGCAGUCGAUGGAAGUUUGAGGCAAUAACAGGUCUGUGAUGCCCUUAGAUGUUCUGGGCCGCACGCGCGCUACACUGCUGGGCUCAGCGAGUUUUACUUGGCCGAGAGGCCCGGUUAAUCUUGUGAAAUCCCUGCGUGCUUGGGCUCGCCUCCUGCAACUGGAGGCGCCAACGAGGAAUUCCUAGUAGACGCAGGUCAUCAACCUGCAUCGAUUACGUCCCUGCCCUUUGUACACACCGCCCGUCGUUCCAUAAGAGUGAGGCAUCCGGUGAAUUCUCGGGAGAGCCUGGGCGUGGCCAGCAAUGGUCUGCUCGGGUUUGAACUUGCAUAAACUUGGUGCCUAUGAUUAGGG
rnacentral:rRNA from 1 species